rnacentral:rRNA from 1 species
GCGAUCUGGUUGAUUCUGCCAGUAGUCAUAUGCUUGUUUCAAGGACUUAGCCAUGCAUGCCUCAGAAUCACUGCAUUGCAGGAAUCUGCGCAUGGCUCAUUACAUCAGACGUAAUCUGCCGCCAAAAUCUUGCGGUCUCCGCAUUAUUGGAUAACUUGGCGAAACGCCAAGCUAAUACAUGAACCAAAGGGACGCUCCCUGCUACGGCCGCGGGGUGACUCGCGGUCACGGGACGUCCUGCGAAUGAAUGAAAUUAAGACCAACGCCCCCACCCGGG